GAUCUGCCCUGCACUUCGGGAUAAGCCUGGGAAACUGGGUCUAAAUACCGGAUAGGAGCCAUUUUUAGUGUGAUGGUUGGAAAGUUUUUUCGGUGUAGGAUGAGCUCGCGGCCUAUCAGCUUGUUGGUGGGGUAAUGGGCCUACCAAGGCGGCGACGGGUAGCCGGCCUGAGAGGGUGGACGGCCACAUUGGGACUGAGAUACGGCCCAGACUCCUACGGGAGGCAGCAGUGGGGAAUAUUGCACAAUGGCGCAAGCCUGAUGCAGCGACGCCGCGUGGGGAUGACGGCCUUCGGGUUGUAAACUCCUUUCGCUAGGGACGAAGCUUUUUGUGACGGUACCUAGAUAAGAAGCACCGGCUAACUACGUG
rnacentral:rRNA from 1 species